AUUGAACGCUGGCGGCAUGCCUUACACAUGCAAGUCGAACGGUAACAGGUUAAGCUGACGAGUGGCGAACGGGUGAGUAAUGUAUCGGAACGUGCCCAGUCGUGGGGGAUAACUGCACGAAAGAGCAGCUAAUACCGCAUACGACCUGAGGGUGAAAGCGGGGGAUCGCAAGACCUCGCGCGAUUGGAGCGGCCGAUAUCAGAUUAGGUAGUUGGGGAGGUAAAGGUCCACCAAGCCGACGAUCUGUAGCUGGUCUGAGAGGACGACCAGCCACACUGGGACUGAGACACGGCCCAGACUCCUACGGGAGGCAGCAGUGGGGAAUUUUGGACAAUGGGCGCAAGCCUGAUCCAGCCAUGCCGCGUGAGGGAAGAAGGCCUUCGGGUUGUAAACCGCUUUUGUCAGGGAAGAAAAGGUUCUGGCUAAUACCUGGGACUCAUGACGGUACCUGAAGAAUAAGCACCGGCUAACUACGUG
rnacentral:rRNA from 1 species